GCAUCCUACGGGAGGCAGCAGUGGGGGAUAUUGCACAAUGGGGGAAACCCUGAUGCAGCGACGCCGCGUGUAGGAAGACGGUCCUCUGGAUUGUAAACUACUGUCCCCAGGGACGAAGAUGACGGUACCUGGGGAGGAAGCUCCGGCUAACUACGUGCCAGCAGCCGCGGUAAUACGUAGGGAGCGAGCGUUGUCCGGAAUUACUGGGUGUAAAGGGAGCGUAGGCGGGGAUGCAAGUUGGGUGUUAAAUCUACCGGCUCAACUGGGAGCC
rnacentral:rRNA from 1 species